rnacentral:rRNA from 1 species
UACGAAGGGGGCUAGCGUUGCUCGGAAUUAUUGGGCGUAAAGGGUGCGUAGGCGGCCCGGUAAGUCAAAGGUGAAAUCCCUCGGCUCAACUGAGGAACUGCCUUUGAAACUGUCGGGCUUGAGGCCGGGAGGGGGUAGCGGAAUUCCCAGUGUAGCGGUGAAAUGCGUAGAUAUUGGGAGGAACACCGGUGGCGAAGGCGGCUACCUGGACCGGUUCUGACGCUGAUGCGCGAAAGCGUGGGUAGCAAACAGG